UCGAACCAAUAAUUGCCGCCGUUGUGGAGACAUUCGAUGACAAAGGCUUAAAUAGAAUAGCUGAUCGACUGCCUAGAUAUUUCGAUGUACGUUAAUGCGUGAAACGUAUGUUCAAGUUUUCUACUUUUAGCCAUCUUCGUUAAUCGCAAACUUCGUCAUUCGAAUCGCAUCGGACAAACACGGACUCGUGUAACAUCCAAACACUGGAAAAUCUUUAGCACUGAACGUUCUCAGACAACGCACAUUGUACAUCUUGGAGCAUUCACGCAGUAGAUAUCCCGCGCAAACAUUGUACAGCUUGAAGCAUUCAAAGUGUAAGCAUCGAACAAACACUUAACGUACACAGACAAUCAUUUUAAUCGUCCAUUCAAGUUGUAUCGAAGUUUAAAUUUCGUUGUUUAUUAACUAAACACAAUUGUUCGCUUUGGUCCCUGUCUGUUUGUGUACACCGUGGCUGAAUAAUAUAUUAUACAAUUACUCGGUACGCAUAACUCUCGUUGAAGACAAAUAAACAACAUCAAAGGCAAAUACAGAUCUGUCACUGCGAAUCAAUUCGUCUGAACGACGUGAACGCGCCUGAAUCUUCACUGGCGGUCCCGCUGUCACUAGUCGGCGAAAUGAUUUAGGCGAGUUAGGCGGGGAGCAGUUUUCGGGCAUCGUACGAAAACAUACGUAUCCGUAAUCACGAAUCCGGAUUCCGAUUUCCAGGAAUCCCUGGUCGAUUUCUUCUAAGCGUGUCCGUGUUUCCUGGUAUACCCUGGCCGGCCAUUGAUAAUCUAAAUAUAAACGCCACGAAGUCGGCCGUGUAGGAGGAAAGCGUGCCGCUCCCCGGCGUGACCUCAUGCGCGAGUUACCACGGGGUUAUCGCGCGUGUAACUCGUGUCCCUUAUCGGUUAUCGUUGCCACGGCGGCGCCAUCACCGUCGAAAAAAUGUGCCCGCCAGUUUCACCGGCUGAUUCAAACACGGAGAACGCCGCUCCCUAAGGAAUCGACCCUUCGAACGUGACCCGUGACCCUUCGUUCUUUCGUUUCCCCUUCGGAGAUGUAUUCUUAUAUCCCGGAUAAGAUAAGGCGAUAUUUUGUACGAUUGAUCGAUCCGAAGGGAAGUAAAGAUUGGAGAUUACAAAAAGGUCAGUCUUUCCUCACUGUUUUCGAUUAUAGCAGACGUUUUAGAAUAGCCUACACGAGGCCACGAGUCAACGAUACAUGGAGGUUCUAGGGGGUUGAAGAUUACGAAAAGGUUAAUUUUUUUUAAUUGUUUUGAAUUGUGGAAAUUUGUUGACCAGAUUUGUUAGCCCGUUCCCCGUUUAAUCGGUUCACCGAGAGGAGACGAGCCAACUCGUUAUUCGGAUUGCCAAUCCCGGCUGCGAACAAGUCUUUGGCUACCAGGCUAAAAGAGAUUCCUGCAUGAAGCUGACAAUCGACCAUGAGAUUGCUUUUAUGAGUUGUAGAACAGGUGCCAAUUUUUCCGCCAGAUCGUGGCCAAUAUCGAGGGUAGGUACAGUAAGUCGCGAAAGUAUUCGAACAUCUGUACGAAACUUUCUUCGACGCUAUAUUACGCCUGUUGUUGCGAAAUAUUUUGAGGUCUCAUUAGCGCUGCAAUAAGACUCGAUUGUAUCGAUUCGAUUACGAUUAUAUCGUGAAAAUGUACAUAGAAGAUAGGAGAUAAUAUUUGGUGGCAGUGCAUGUCACAGAGAUCAUAAAAGUAUUUAAAGAGUCCGUUAUUCGUAGUAUUAAUAGGCUAGGACGUUGAAAAAUUCGUGCGCGCUAGAAUUAUUAGCUUAUUAUUAACUAUUAACAGGUUUACAAAACGAAGGUGAAAAUUAAAAUCUGACCAAACGAUAUGAGUAAAUUGGUAACAUUAGCUGAUCGAGUAUUGUAAAACGAUAACGUAGAAAGCGUGGGAAAGCGCGCGAGAAAUAUUCGUGUAUUUUGCAAAAUUGUAAUUUAUCAAUAAACUUUUGUAAAAGAAAGGGUUCGUAAAUAUUAUCAAACGUCUCGAUAAUGCAUAUUGUACAAAAAAAUGGUAGCGAAAAAAAUUGAAAGAAAAGAAGGAAAGGACAGAUAUCUGAAUCUCAUUUUUAGACAAAGUUACAUUCCGGUAAUAUCGAUUUCAAUAGAGAACAAGUUAUUUAUUUUUCAGAUAGACCGACUCUGAUCGAUAUUUUUAGUAACUUUAUGGUUUUCUUGCUUUAGUAGGAUACCGUUAUCUAGCCAUACGCAUGUAUCUUCGGAGCCUAAAGAGAUCCAAUUAUGCGCACAUAAUUUCUGGGGUCAGUCGUAUUUCGUGACCCCAUUUGUAUUUCAGCCUGAUGUUUGUUUCUUGUUUUUCACCAAACCCCAUGGAGGUCUAAAAAUAUUGUAAACCGACCUUUGGGUGAAUAUCUCGAGUCAUUGGCAUCUACGUUUCCUCACUUGCAACCGAGCUACAAACCAUAAAUCAGAUAACGUAGUCAUUCACAAAAAUGUUCUUGUGAAUACAAGGAUUCGAUCAACAAAUUAAUUGGUCGCUUGGUCGUAUUACUCUGCUCCAAUCGAUGAAUUAUUAGUAGGACGACCAUUAAUUUCGAGAAACGUAAUUUCUGGAACGAUAGAGAACGCACGCGAUUUCAGUUAAUUAUGCAUCGCAGCGAUUCUCUCAUAAAAGAACCGGAAAUAAACUUUAUAGAGGCGUCGCGUCGCAACUGCUUUCAAAGCGGUCGUCAAGUCGGAAUUUACAAGCUCGUAAAUUAAUGCUGUGACGAACAAGAGAGUGUUAGCAAAAUAAUGUCUCGUCACUGGGUGGUCCUAUGAUAGAUACUGCUUCGUGGAAAUAUUAAACAGCCUUGCCGAAACACGAUUCGGUAGAAAUGCGGCGUGGGAGUAGCGCUUACUCUCAAACAAAAUUUCUCAAGAGGCACUAUGGAUCGUUUAUUUCGAAAGUGGUGUUUUCCUUUGUUUCGAAAUAUCGAGGUGUUCGCGUUUCUAUCGAUUGAAAAGUCCUGUUGAGGUCUACGUACUUUGUCCAUUUCUCUAUAUGUUUAAAGUCACGAAUGGACCUGCACCACUUACAAAAUAAACGAUCUAUUUAUUUAAAAAAUAGAGGAAUGAUACAUAAACGUUAUAGUGGCUUAUGAAAGUAUUUGCAGACUUACGGAUACUUUCUAUGAAUAUAUCAUGUACGUUUUACGAUAUUAUUUAAUAAUCCAACUUCUAAUUUAUGCUAUAAUUUACGAGAUAACGGGGGAAAGAGUAUUUUUAAUAGAUUUUUAUU